rnacentral:rRNA from 1 species
CCUACGGGAGGCAGCAGUGAGGAAUAUUGGUCAAUGGGCGAGAGCCUGAACCAGCCAAGUCGCGUGAAGGAUUACGGCCCUACGGGUUGUCACCUUCUUUUGUCAGGGAGCAAUUGGGUCCACGCGUGGGCUUAGCGAGAGUACCUGAAGAAAAAACAUCGGUUAACUCCGUGCCAGCAGCCGCGGUAAUACGGAGGAUGCGGGCGUUAUCCGGAUUGAUUGGGUUUAAAGGGUGCGUAGGCGGAAUAUCAAGUCCUCGGGAAAAAUUCGGGGCUCAACCCCGACGUGCCGUUGAAACUGGUGUUCUUGAGUGGAGGAGAGGUAUGCGGAAUGCGUGGUGUAGCGGUGAAAUGCAUAGAUAUCACGAAGAACUCCGAUUGCGAAGGCAGCAUACCGGCGCCCAACUGACGCUGAGGCACGAAAGCGUGGGUAUCGAACAGGAUUAGAUACCCGUGUAGUC